rnacentral:rRNA from 1 species
AGGAUGAACGCUGGCGGCGUGCUUAACACAUGCAAGUCGAACGAUGAACUGGAGCUUGCUCCGGGGAUUAGUGGCGAACGGGUGAGUAACACGUGAGUAACCUGCCCUUGACUCUGGGAUAAGCACUGGAAACGGUGUCUAAUACCGGAUAUGACCUUCAGCCGCAGUGGCUAGGGGGUGGAAAGAUUUUUUGGCAAGGAUGGGACUCGCGGCCUAUCAGGUAGUUGGUGAGGUAAUGGCUCACCAAGCCGACGACGGGUAGCCGGCCUGGAGAGGGUGACCGGCCACGACGUGGGAACUGAGACACGGCCCAGACUCCGUACGGAGGCAGCGAGUCGGGGAAUACGUUGGACAACGAAGUGGGGACGAAA